rnacentral:rRNA from 1 species
GACGAACGCUGGCGGCGCGCCUAACACAUGCAAGUCGAACGAGCGAGCGAGAGCUUGCUUUCUCAAGCGAGUGGCGAACGGGUGAGUAACGCGUGAGGAACCUGCCUCAAAGAGGGGGACAACAGUUGGAAACGACUGCUAAUACCGCAUAAGCCCACAGGUCGGCAUCGACCAGAGGGAAAAGGAGCAAUCCGCUUUGAGAUGGCCUCGCGUCCGAUUAGCUAGUUGGUGAGGUAACGGCCCACCAAGGCAACGAUCGGUAGCCGGACUGAGAGGUUGAACGGCCACAUUGGGACUGGGACACGGCCCAGACUCCUACGGGAGGCAGCAGUGGGGAAUAUUGCACAAUGGGGGAAACCCUGAUGCAGCGACGCCGCGUGGAGGAAGAAGGUCUUCGGAUUGUAAACUCCUGUUGUUGAGGAAGAUAAUGACGGUACUCAACAAGGAAGUGACGGCUAACUACGUG